rnacentral:pre_miRNA from 1 species
UCCCGAAGUUUCCUUCGGCAGUUAACUGCAGCCGGUUCUUAAUUUCGGUAGUUAACUGUCACGGUGGCAU